GCGAUCGGUGGAUGCCUUGGCACCAAGAGCCGAUGAAGGACGUUGUGACCUGCGAUAAGCCCUGGGGAGUUGGUGAGCGAGCUGUGAUCCGGGGGUGUCCGAAUGGGGAAACCUGGAAUGUCCGGAGUAGUGUCCGGUGGCCCUGCCCUGAAUGUAUAGGGGUGUGGGUGGUAACGCGGGGAAGUGAAACAUCUUAGUACCCGUAGGAAGAGAAAACAAGUGUGAUUCCGUGAGUAGUGGCUAGCGAAAGCGGA
rnacentral:rRNA from 1 species